UUCACCCUGGUAUUUCAGUACCCACCUGACACCGCACAUAGUUAUUACAAUAUCAUUGACUAUAGUCCCUGUGCUGUACUUGGAUGUUGCUUUCCGUGUUUGACCUCCUGGAAGGAGAGUUUUACAUUUGACAAAGAUGCUAAUGGACUCAAAUAAGGUCUGUGGGAGGGAAGAGUGUUGAAAGUGGAGAAAUGAACGCAAAAGUUAGGGAAGGUGUUAUAAGGACUGAGCUAAGACCUCAUUAGGACUAGAAAAAAACUGAAGUGGUGCUCCCUGGCCAGGCUGGGUAGCGUGCUGAGCCACAUUAUAAAUAACAGCAGGUAAGAAGUACAACCACCCUUACUGUUCCUCAGAGU